rnacentral:rRNA from 1 species
GAUCGCCUACGGGGGGCAGCAGUGGGGGAUAUUGCACAAUGGGGGAAACCCUGAUGCAGCGACACCGCGUGGGUGAAGAAGCGCUUCGGCGUGUAAAGCCCUAUCAGUGGGGAAGAAAAAGGACGGUACCCAAAGAAGAAGCACCGGCUAAAUACGGGCCAGCAGCCGCGGUAAUACGUAUGGUGCAAGCGUUAUCCGGAAUGAUUGGGCGUAAAGGGUGCGUAGGCGGCCUGCUAAGUCUGGAGUGAAAGGUACCGGCUCAACCGGUACAGGCUCUGGAAACUGGCGG